rnacentral:rRNA from 1 species
AGUGAACGCUGGCGGCAGGCCUAACACAUGCAAGUCGAACGGCAGCACAGAGGAGCUUGCUCCUUGGGUGGCGAGUGGCGGACGGGUGAGGAAUACAUGGGAAUCUGCCCAAUCGUGGGGGAUAAGGUAGGGAAACUUACGCUAAUACCGCAUACGACCUACGGGUGAAAGCGGCGGACCGCAAGGCGUCGCGCGAUUGGAUGAGCCCAUGUCGGAUUAGCUAGUUGGCGGGGUAAAGGCCCACCAAGGCGACGAUCCGUAGCUGGUCUGAGAGGAUGAUCAGCCACACUGGACCUGAGACACGGUCCAGACUCCUACGGGAGGCAGCAGUGGGGAAUAUUGGACAAUGGGCGCAAGCCUGAUCCAGCCAUGCCGCGUGAGUGAAGAAGGCCCUCGGGUUGUAAAGCUCUUUUGUCCGGAAAGAAAAGCUUUCGGUUAAUACCCGGAAGUCCUGACGGUACCGGAAGAAUAAGCACCGGCUAACUUCGUGCCAGCAGCCGCCGUAAUAC